UACGUAGGGUGCAAGCGUUGUCCGGAAUUACUGGGCGUAAAGGGCUCGUAGGCGGCCAACUAAGUCGGAUGUGAAAUCCCCAAGCUUAACUUGGGAACUGCAUCCGAUACUGGAUGGCUUGAAUCCGGGAGAGGGAUGCAGAAUUCCAGGUGUAGCGGUGAAAUGCGCAGAUAUCAUCAAGAACAUCGAUUGCGAAGGCAGCUUACUAAGCUUUAACUGACGCUGAGGCACGAAAGCGUGGGGAUCAAACAGG
rnacentral:rRNA from 1 species